CUUGCUAGGCAAGUGCUCUACCACUGAGCUAAAUGCCCAACCCCAAAUAAGGUUAUUUUUAAUCCUCAGGUGUAAAUUGAUCUAUUGUCUGCUCUACGGAAACAGGAUGGACUACUGUGGCAUUUUGAGGCAACAAAAAUUGUUCCAGGACCGACAGGUCUUCCCACAUCGCUCCGUAUGUCUCUCCUCAAUCCUACUGUUCACCUCUGCUGGAGUGGACCAGUCUACCUGUCUACUUUCUUCAAACUCAUUUUGACUAUAUCUGCUCCAGAUUCUUCAUCAUGCUUAAAUGCUUAAAUGCUCCCCCUAAUUCUGUGUACAUCCUUAAUCCAUCCUUUACACACCAACUUCUAUAAUUAUCCAAAACAAAAGCCCGAAAAAAACAAAAAAACAAAGCUUGUUCAACUCCAAUAAAGUCUGUUACUAUUCUUA